rnacentral:rRNA from 1 species
CCUACGGGAGGCAGCAGUGAGGAAUAUUGGUCAAUGGGCGCGAGCCUGAACCAGCCAAGUAGCGUGAAGGAUGACUGCCCUAUGGGUUGUAAACUUCUUUUAUAAAGGAAUAAAACGAGGUACGUGUGCCUUUUUGCAUGUACUUUAUGAAUAAGGAUCGGCUAACUCCGUGCCAGCAGCCGCGGUAAUACGGAGGAUCCGAGCGUUAUCCGGAUUUAUUGGGUUUAAAGGGAGCGUAGGUGGGUUGUUAAGUCAGUUGUGAAAGUUUGCGGGUCAACCGUAAAAUUGCAAUUGAUACUGGCAGUCUAGAGAACAGUUGAGGUAGGCGGAAUUCGUGGUGUAGCGGUGAAAUGCUUAGAUAUCACGAAGAACCCCGAUUGCGAAGGCAGCUUACUAAGCUGUGACUGACAUUGAUGCUCGAAAGUGUGGGUAGCAAACAGGAUUAGAUACCCUAGUAGUC